CCUACGGGUGGCAGCAGUGGGGAAUAUUGCACAAUGGGCGAAAGCCUGAUGCAGCAACGCCGCGUGAGCGAUGAAGGCCUUCGGGUCGUAAAGCUCUGUCCUCAAGGAAGAUAAUGACGGUACUUGAGGAGGAAUCCCCGGCUAACUACGUGCCAGCAGCCGCGGUAAUACGUCGGCGGCUAGCGUUAUCCGGAAUUACUGGGCGUAAAGGGUGCGUAGGUGGUUUCUUAAGUCAGAGGUGAAAGGCUGCGGAUCAACCGUGGUUAGCCUUUGAAACUGGGGAACUUGAGUGCAGGAGAGGAGAGUGGAAUUCCUAGUGUAGCGGUGAAAUGCGUAGAUAUUAGGAGGAACACCAGUGGCGAAGGCGGAUUGCUGGCCUGUAACUGACGCUGAGGAACGAAAGCGUGGGGAGCAAACAGGAUUAGAUACCCUGGUAGUC
rnacentral:rRNA from 1 species